CAUUUGCCUUUUGUGAUACGCUUUCAAAGAGUCAGGUUGUUUGGGAAUGCAGCCUAAAUUGGGUGGUAAAUCUCACCUAAAGCUAAAUAUUGGCGAGAAACCGAUAGCGAACAAGUACCGUGAGGGAAAGAUGAAAAGAACUUUGAAAAGAGAGUUAAACAGUAUGUGAAAUUGUUAAAAGGGAACCGUUUGGAGCCAGACUGGCUUGUCUGUAAUCAAUCUAGGCUUCGGCCUGGAUGCACUUGCAGGCUAUGCCUGCCAACGACAAUUUGACUUGAGGGAAAAAACUAAGGGAAAUGUGGCCCACUUGUGGGUGUUAUAGUCCCUUAGAAAAUACCUUGGGUUGGAUUGAGGAACGCAGCGAAUGCUUUUUGGCGAGUUUUCCAGGAAGGUUUUCUGAGGUACUACGGUAUCAAGGUUGAUCUUUU
rnacentral:rRNA from 2 species